rnacentral:rRNA from 1 species
AUUGAACGCUGGCGGCAUGCUUUACACAUGCAAGUCGAACGGUAACAGGGUGCUUGCACCGCUGACGAGUGGCGAACGGGUGAGUAAUGCGUCGGAACGUGCCGAGUAGUGGGGGAUAACGCAGCGAAAGUUGUGCUAAUACCGCAUACGUACUGAGGUAGAAAGUGGGGGACCUUCGGGCCUCACGCUAUUCGAGCGGCCGACGUCUGAUUAGCUAGUAGGUGAGGUAAAGGCUCACCUAGGCGACGAUCAGUAGCGGGUCUGAGAGGAUGAUCGGCCAAACUGGGACUGGGACACGGCCCAGACUCCUACGGGAGGAAGCAGUGGGGAAUUUUGGACAAUGGGCGAAAGCCUGAUCCAGCCAUGCCGCGUGUCUGAAGAAGGCCUUCGGGUUGUAAAGGACUUUUGUCAGGGAGGAAAUCCCUAGUGCUAAUAACACUGGGGGAUGACAGUACCUGAAGAAUAAGCACCGGCUAACUACGUGCCAGCAGCCGCCGUAA